AGUGAGGUAAAUUACUUUAAGAUUGGUGGACUUUUAAUCCGUUUGUCGUGGGUUCGAUCCCCGCACACCUACCA
rnacentral:tRNA from 1 species